rnacentral:tRNA from 1 species
GCGGAUGUAGCCAAGUGGAUCAAGGCAGUGGAUUGUGAUC